AGUGAACGCUGGCGGUAGGCCUAACACAUGCAAGCCGAACGGCAGCACAGUAAGAGCUUGCUCUUACGGGUGGCGAGUGGCGGACGGGUGAGGAAUACAUCGGAAUCUACUUUUUCGUGGGGGAUAACGUAGGGAAACUUACGCUAAUACCGCAUACGACCUACGGGUGAAAGCAGGGGAUCUUCGGACCUUGCGCGAUUGAAUGAGCCGAUGUCGGAUUAGCUAGUUGGCGGGGUAAAGGCCCACCAAGGCGACGAUCCGUAGCUGGUCUGAGAGGAUGAUCAGCCACACUGGAACUGAGACACGGUCCAGACUCCUACGGGAGGCAGCAGUGGGGAAUAUUGGACAAUGGGCGCAAGCCUGAUCCAGCCAUACCGCGUGGGUGAAGAAGGCCUUCGGGUUGUAAAGCCCUUUUGUUGGGAAAGAAAAGCAGCAGGUUAAUACCCCGCAGUUCUGACGGUACCCAAAGAAUAAGCACCGGCUAACUUCGUG
rnacentral:rRNA from 1 species